CAGACAGCUAGCAGCUACAGCCGCCUGUGUCAAAGAGGCCACGCCCCUAACAAUACAAACUUCCAGCCUUACACAAUUUAAACAGCCUGACGCAAACUAACGUCCAUGACCACAUGCGAAGCCAGCAUUUCCGUCUUGCCCUCCUGACGUCCAGCCUUCCUGGGCUUCAGUGAGAGAAGCGCAGACCUGAGGUCUCAGAGCUGCGCGGAGCCCUGCAGCCUCCCAGAUUUAUUUCAGCCGAGCAGCUCGGGGCGGUGCCGCCGGCGUUACGAUGACCCCAUACAUCACGCCUCGUGUGAGCACAUAUUAAGUGCUUUUCUCAUCAUCCCCCCCGCCCAUUAAAAGUAAAUAAUCCGUUAAGGAGCGGUCCAAUUCCUCAUACGUGACAGGUAUCUGUUUGUACAGAGCCAGGAAGGUGUGCGAGGAGAGUGAGGAGGAGGAGGAGCGCUGGCGUGAGAGGACUCUGAUUACCUCGCUGUAGCUGCUAAAGUCAGAUGUACGCCCGCUGUGUGACCCCGGCGUUUACAUAAAGCUGCAAAGAAUGGAAGCGUAUGAGAAGUUAGAUUCACUGCCGCUGUGAGCGCACAGGAAAAAAGGACCACUCCAACCACUGCAGCCAGCAAACGCUCAUCUUCCCGGUAAUUAGGCAAAGUAGAGGAUGAUGGCGACCCUGUGACCUUUAACCCCCCUCCUCUCCAUGAUACCGCACAGUGCUGCUGAAACAAGGAGAACUCAAAGACUCGUUUCAACAGGUCAGACAGAAGAGAGGAAGAUUUAACUGCA